GACGAACGCUGGCGGCGUGCCUAAUACAUGCAAGUCGAACGGAGCGGCGGACGGGUGAGUAAUGCCUAGGAAUCUGCCUGGUAGUGGGGGAUAACGUACGGACACGGGCGCUAAUACCGCAUCCUAUCAGAUGAGCCUAGGUCGGAUUAGCUAGUUGGUGGGGUAAAGGCCUACAAAGGCGACGAUCCGUAACUGGCCUGAGAGGAUGAUCAGCCACACUGGAACUGAGACACGGUCCAGACUCCUACGGGAGGCAGCAGUGGGGAAUCUUGGACAAUGGGCGAAAGCCUGAUCCAGCCAUGCCGCGUGUGUGAAGAAGGUCUUCGGAUUGUAAAGCACUUUAAGUUGGGAGGCGGUACCAAAAGAAUAAGCACCGGCUAACUUCGUGCCAGCAGCCGCGGUAAUAC
rnacentral:rRNA from 1 species